rnacentral:rRNA from 1 species
AAGUUUGAUCAUGGCUCAGAACCCGAACGCUUUACGGUAGGCCCUAAACACAUGCAAGUCGAACGGCAGCACAGGAGAGCUUGCUCUCUGGGUGGCGAGUGGCGGACGGGUGAGGAAUACAUCGGAAUCUACUCUGUCGUGGGGGAUAACGUAGGAAACUUACGCUAAUACCGCAUACGACCUACGGGUGAAAGCAGGGGAUCUUCGGACCUUG